GAUGAACGCUGGCGGCGUGCUUAACACAUGCAAGUCGAACGAAGCACUUUAUUUGAUUUCCUUCGGGACUGAUUAUUUUGUGACUGAGUGGCGGAUGGGUGAGUAACGCGUGGGUAACCUGCCUUGUACAGGGGGAUAACAGUUGGAAACUGCUGCUAAUACCGCAUAAGCGCACGGCAUCGCAUGAUGCAGUGUGAAAAACUCCGGUGGUAUAAGAUGGACCCGCGUUGGUUUAGCUAGUCGGUGGGGUAACGGCCCACCAAGGCGACGAUCCAUAGCCGGCCAGAGAGGGUGAGCGGCCACAUUGGGACUGAGACGCGGCGCAGACUCCUGCGGGAGGCAGCAGUGGGGAAUAUUGCAAAAUGGGCGAGAGCCUGAUGCAGCGACGCCGCGUGAGCGAAGAAGUAUUGCAGUAUGUAAAGCACUAUCAGCAGGGAAGAUCAUGACGGUACCUGACUAAGAAGCACCGGCUAACUACGUG
rnacentral:rRNA from 1 species